rnacentral:rRNA from 1 species
GACGAACGCUGGCGGCGUGCUUAACACUUGCAAGUCGAACGGAAAGGCCCCUUUGGGGGUCCUCGAGUGGCGAACGGGUGAGUAACACGUGAGUAACCUGCCCUUGACUUCGGGAUAACUUCAGGAAACUGGGGCUAAUACCGGAUAGGAAUCCUUGCUGCAUGGUGGGGGUUGGAAAGCUUCGGCGGUUUUGGAUGGACUCGCGGCUUAUCAGCUUGUUGGUGGGGUAGUGGCUUACCAAGGCUUUGACGGGUAGCCGGCCUGAGAGGGCGACCGGCCACAUUGGGACUGAGAUACGGCCCAGACUCCUACGGGAGGCAGCAGUGGGGAAUAUUGCACAAUGGGCGGAAGCCUGAUGCAGCAACGCCGCGUGCGGGUUGACGGCCUUCGGGUUGUAAACCGCUUUCAGCAGGGGCGAAGCUUGUGGUGACGGUACCUGCAGAAGAAGCACCGGCUAACUACGUG